rnacentral:rRNA from 1 species
GAUGAACGCUGGCGGCGUGCCUAAUACAUGCAAGUCGAGCGAACAGACGAGGAGCUUGCUCCUCUGACGUUAGCGGCGGACGGGUGAGUAACACGUGGAUAACCUACCUAUAAGACUGGGAUAACUUCGGGAAACCGGAGCUAAUACCGGAUAAUAUAUUGAACCGCAUGGUUCAAUAGUGAAAGACGGUUUUGCUGUCACUUAUAGAUGGAUCCGCGCCGCAUUAGCUAGUUGGUAAGGUAACGGCUUACCAAGGCAACGAUGCGUAGCCGACCUGAGAGGGUGAUCGGCCACACUGGAACUGAGACACGGGCCAGACUCCUACGGGGAGCAACAGUAGGGAAACUUCCCCAAUGGGCGAAAGCCUUGCCGAGCAACGCCGCGUGAGUGAUGAAGGUCUUCGGAUCGUAAAACUCUGUUAUUAGGGAAGAACAAAUGUGUAAGUAACUAUGCACGUCUUGACGGUACCUAAUCAGAAAGCCACGGCUAACUACGUG